rnacentral:rRNA from 1 species
AUACGUAGGUGACAAGCGUUAUCCGGAUUUACUGGGCGUAAAGGGCGUGUAGGCGGUCUUGCAAGUCAGAAGUGAAAUUCCUGAGCUCAACUCGGGCGCUGCUUCUGAAACUGCAGGACUUGAGUGCUGGAGGGGAUAGCGGAAUUCCUAGUGGAGCGGUAAAAUGCGCAGAUAUUAGGAAGAACACCGGUGGCGAAGGCGGCUAUCUGGACAGUAACUGACGCUGAGGCGCGAAAGCGUGGGGAGCAAACAGGAGUAGAUACCCUGGUAGUCCACACUGUAAACGAUGAAUGCUAGGUGUAGGAGGUAUCGACCCCUUCUGUGCCGCAGUAAACACAGUAAGCAUUCCGCCUGGGGAGUACGGUCGCAAGAUUAAAACUCAAAUGAAUUGACGGGG